rnacentral:rRNA from 1 species
GACGAACGCUGGCGGCGUGCUUAACACAUGCAAGUCGAACGGAAAGGCCCUGCUUUUGUGGGGUGCUCGAGUGGCGAACGGGUGAGUAACACGUGAGUAACCUGCCCUUGACUUUGGGAUAACUUCAGGAAACUGGGGCUAAUACCGGAUAGGAGCUCCUGCUGCAUGGUGGGGGUUGGAAAGUUUCGGCGGUUGGGGAUGGACUCGCGGCUUAUCAGCUUGUUGGUGGGGUAGUGGCUUACCAAGGCUUUGACGGGUAGCCGGCCUGAGAGGGUGACCGGCCACAGUGGGCUAGGGGAGCGGCCCGGACCCCAACGGGAGGCAGGGGUGGGAAAUUGUGGAAAAGGGGCGGAGCGCGGGUGGAACACCGCCGGGUCGGGGAUGACGGCCUUCGGGGUAGAAACCGCUUUCCCGUGUGAAGAAGGGGGGGGAAGGGAAAUGGGUAAAAAAGCACCGGCUAACUACUG